UAGGAAAGACAUUCAUAAGGAAGUUGACAAGAAUAUCAGCCUCAUAUUAGAAAGAAUGAAAUGAAAAAAAAUAAUUCCAGGAUAAUCUCUGUAUUCACAUGAUUAUAAUAGUCACAUGCAAGUCUAUGCGUUGGGAUCCCUGCACUCAAGUUAAUGAGCUCACCUGAGGUUCGUGGUGUUAUCGGGGCUGUUUGGGUUAGAGUUACUCUGCACUUUCCGCUCGCAUCCUGCACCUCCUCCAGGCACCAGAAGCUCCAGAGAAGCUUUGCUCUGCUGUCUGCGUGAGGGCUGAGCAGCCGAGAGUUGUCUUCUGCUGGUUCCACAGGACGUUUACUAGGAUGCUUCAGAAACCGGGGACCUGAUU